rnacentral:sRNA from 1 species
UUGCACAUGGGUUAGUCGAU